GGCUCGUUGGUCAAGUGGUUAAGACACCGCCCUUUCACGGCGGUAACACGGGUUCGAAUCCCGUACGGGUCA
rnacentral:tRNA from 1 species